GACGAACGCUGGCGGCGUGCCUAAUACAUGCAAGUAGAACGCUGAAGAGAGGAGCUUGCUCUUCUUGGAUGAGUCGCGAACGGGUGAGUAACGCGUAGGUAACCUGCCUGGCAGCGGGGGAUAACUAUUGGAAACGAUAGCUAAUACCGCAUAAAAUUGAUUAUUGCAUGAUAAUUAAUUGAAAGAUGCAAUUGCAUCACUACCAGAUGGACCUGCGUUGUAUUAGCUAGUUGGUGAGGUAACGGCUCACCAGGGCGACGAUACAUAGCCGACCUGAGAGGGUGAUCGGCCACACUGGGACUGAGACACGGCCCAGACUCCUACGGGAGGCAGCAGUAGGGAAUCUUCGGCAAUGGGGGGAACCCUGACCGAGCAACGCCGCGUGAGUGAAGAAGGUUUUCGGAUCGUAAAGCUCUGUUGUAAGAGAAGAACGGGUGUGAGAGCGGAAAGUUCACACUGUGACGGUGUCUUACCAGAAAGGGACGGUUAACUACGUGCCAUCAGCCGCGGUAAUACGUAGGUCCCGAGCGUUGUCCGGAUUUAUUGGGCGUAAAGCGAGCGCAGGCGG
rnacentral:rRNA from 1 species